UUGAGUUCAGUCUGUCCUCCAAGGUGCUUUUAUUGAUUCCUGUAAGUCAAGGAAGAAAAACAUGGAGAUAAAUGAAUGAAGUUUACAUGACGCCGGUCAUUGAAGAUGCGGGUGUCUGGAUCAUCUAUAGUUGAAAGUUUACAAAGUUUUUCUGAACCAUCGAGUCCACAAUUUUGCUGAUGUCACUUGCAAUGGUUGAUUCAGCAUAACGACGGCUAAACUUCUGGAUGUCAUUUGGUGAGCUAAAAGUGACAUUUGAAAAACAAAC